rnacentral:misc_RNA from 1 species
GUAUAGAUUUUAUAGGCACAACAUUCUAUUAACAUACAUUGGGGUAAAUGAGGAAGCAACAUAGACCUGAGAAGGUCUACAAAGGGUGCACAGGUGGAGAUAUAAAGACGACAAGGCGUGCACAUGCUCCCAAGAGAACCAGCAACAGCCCGUCAGGUUUAUUUUCAAUAAUGAUCCUUCCGCAGGUUCACCUACGGAAA